rnacentral:rRNA from 1 species
AAAUAGAUACCCCAGGUAGUCCACGCCGUAAACGAUGAGUGCUAAGUGUUAGAGGGUUUCCGCCCUUUAGUGCUGCAGCUAACGCAUUAAGCACUCCGCCUGGGGAGUACGGCCGCAAGGCUGAAACUCAAAGGAAUUAACGGGGGCCCGCACAAGCGGUGGAGCAUGUGGUUUAAUUCGAAGCAACGCGAAGAACCUUACCAGGUCUUGACAUCCUCUGCCAACCCUAGAGAUAGGGCGUUCCCCUUCGGGGGACAGAGUGACAGGUGGUGCAUGGUUGUCGUCAGCUCGUGUCGUGAGAUGUUGGGUUAAGUCCCGCAACGAGCGCAACCCUUGAUCUUAGUUGCCAGCAUUCAGUUGGGCACUCUAAGGUGACUGCCGGUGACAAACCGGAGGAAGGUGGGGAUGACGUCAAAUCAUCAUGCCCCUUAUGACCUGGGCUACACACGUGCUACAAUGGAUGGUACAAAGAGCUGCGAACCCGCGAGGGUAAGCGAAUCGUCAUAAGGCCAUUCUCAGUUCGGA